GUGAACAUACCUCUGUUGCUUUGGCGGCUCUUGCCGCGUGGAGGCCCUCAAAAGCCCCCCCGCGCGCGCUUCCGCCAGAGGACCAUCAAACUCCAGUCAGUGAACGUCGACGUCUGAAAAAACAAGUUAAUAAACUAAAACUUUCAACAACGGAUCUCUUGGUUCUGGCAUCGAUGAAGAACGCAGCGAAAUGCGAUAAGUAAUGUGAAUUGCAGAAUUCAGUGAAUCAUCGAAUCUUUGAACGCACAUUGCGCCCCUUGGCAUUCCGAGGGGCAUGCCUGUUCGAGCGUCAUUACAACCCUCAAGCUCUGCUUGGUAUUGGGCGCCGUCCUCUCUGCGGACGCGCCUCAAAGACCUCGGCGGCGGCUGUUCAGCCCUCAAGCGUAGUAGAAUACACCUCGCUUUGGAGCGGUUGGCGUCGCCCGCCGGACGAACCUUCUGAACUUUUCUCAAGGUUGACCUCGGAUCAGGUAGGGAUACCCGCUGAACUUAAGCAUAUC
rnacentral:rRNA from 1 species